AGAGUUUGAUUCUGGCUCAGAUUGAACGCUGGCGGCGUGCUUAACACAUGCAAGUCGAACGUGAAAGUCCUUCGGGGCGAGUAAAGUGGCGCACGGGUGAGUAACGCGUGGAUAAUCUACCCUUAAGAUGGGGAUAACGGCUGGAAACGGUCGCUAAUACCGAAUACGCUCCCGAUUUUAUCAUUGGGGGGAAAGAUGGCCUCUGCUUGCAAGCUAUCGCUUAAGGAUGAGUCCGCGUCCCAUUAGCUAGUUGGCGGGGUAACGGCCCACCAAGGCGACGAUGGGUAGCCGGUCUGAGAGGAUGACCGGCCACACUGGAACUGGAACACGGUCCAGACUCCUACGGGAGGCAGCAGUGGGGAAUAUUGCGCAAUGGGCGAAAGCCUGACGCAGCGACGCCGCGUGAGGGAUGAAGGUUCUCGGAUCGUAAACCUCUGUCAGGGGGGAAGAAACCCCCUCGUGUGAAUAAUGCGAGGGCUUGACGGUACCCCCAAAGGAAGCACCGGCUAACUCCGUGCCAGCAGCCGCGGUAAUACGGAGGGUGCAAGCGUUAAUCGGAAUCACUGGGCGUAAAGCGCACGUAGGCGGCUUGGUAAGUCAGGGGUGAAAUCCCACAGCCCAACUGUGGAACUGCCUUUGAUACUGCCAGGCUUGAGUACCGGAGAGGGUGGCGGAAUUCCAGGUGUAGGAGUGAAAUCCGUAGAUAUCUGGAGGAACACCGGUGGCGAAGGCGGCCACCUGGACGGUAACUGACGCUGAGGUGCGAAAGCGUGGGUAGCAAACAGGAUUAGAUACCCUGGUAGUCCACGCU
rnacentral:rRNA from 1 species